ACUCAGAGUCCAUCAAUAACAGCAGCUCAACCAGGACAAGAAGUCAGAAUAAACUGUAAAACCAGCAGUAAAGUGAAUAAUGGCUGCAGCCCAAAACCAUGUCUAUCCUGGUACUUACAGAAACCUGGAGAAGUUCCUAAACUCUUGAUAUAUACAGUUAACAGCCUCCAGUCAGGAACUCCAUCUAGAUUCAGUGGCAGUGGAUCUGACAGUGAUUUCUCUCUGACCAUCAGUGGAGUCCAGACUGAAGAUACAGGAGAUUAUUACUGUCAGAGUUUCCACUAUCCAAACAGUAAAUAUGUGUUCACACAGUGA